CCUGGACCCGCGCCCCUGAGGGGCUUGCGGGUGGCUAUUCCGGCCGCCGAUCCGCCGGAGCAAU
rnacentral:ncRNA from 1 species